UGGAGCAUGUGGUUUAAUUCGAUGCAACGCGAAAACCUUACCUGCCCUUGACAUGUCAGGAAUCUUUCAGAGAUGAGAGAGUGCCUUCGGGAACCUGAACACAGGUGCUGCAUGGCUGUCGUCAGCUCGUGUCGUGAGAUGUUGGGUUAAGUCCCGUAACGAGCGCAACCCUUGUCCUUAGUUGCCAGCGGUUCGGCCGGGAACUCUAAGGAGACUGCCGGUGAUAAACCGGAGGAAGUGGGGACGACGUCAAGUCAUCAUGGCCCUUAUGGGCAGGGCUACACACGUGCUACAAUGGCCAGUACAGAAGGUUGCCAACCCGCGAGGGGGAGCUAAUCCUGAAAAGCUGGUCGUAGUCCGGAUCGCAGUCUGCAACUCGACUGCGUGAAGUCGGAAUCGCUAGUAAUCGCGAAUCAGCAUGUCGCGGUGAAUACGUUCCCGGGCCUU
rnacentral:rRNA from 1 species